GAUGAACUACGUUUGCAGUGAAAAUCCUUUCUCGUCCUGAACUUGUUUCAGGGUGAGAAAGAUUGCAACGAAAGCGGGAACGGUA
rnacentral:sRNA from 1 species